CAGGGGCUGGGAGGAUACAGCUACCACAGCCAUGACUACUCCUGCAUUAGCCUAUUCAGUGCAGGUCAUGUAUCUUGAAUAACAAGAUGGAUUGGUUAUUCUUUUCUGCAUAGCAGGUCUCGUGUCCCAAAGGAUCCCUGGAUCUACUGUUCCAGAGAUAAGAAGAUCUAUAUUUCUUAGAUGAGUUGCACCAACAAUCUGUAUACUUUGUUUUGUAUUACUGGUAAGCAACAAUCAGAAUUGGAAUAUUAUUCCUGAACUGUGUGCUGCCAAGUUGUUCUGGCAGCAGGGUUAAAGGUAAAGGCUAGAGCUAAACCCUGGCUUCAAGAAGUGAAGGACAUAUGAGAUGUUGUGUCCAGAGG